ACGCUCGACACCUACGGAGGCAGCAGUGGGGAAUAUUGCACAAUGGGGGAAACCCUGAUGCAGCGACGCCGCGUGAACGAAGAAGUAUUUCGGUAUGUAAAGCUCUAUCAGCAGGGAAGAAAGUGACGGUACCUGACUAAGAAGCACCGGCUAAAUACGUGUCAGCAGCCGCGGUAAUCUGAGCGGGCUGGCAAGGC
rnacentral:rRNA from 1 species